CAUAUCAAUAAGCUGAGGAAAAGAAACCAACAGGGAUUGCCUCAGUAACGGCGAGUGAAGCGGCAACAGCUCAAAUUUGAAAUCUGGCCUCUUGGGGUCCGAGUUGUAAUUUGUAGAGGAUGUUUCGGGUACCGCCUCGGUUUAAAUUUCUUGGAACAGAAUGUCAAAGAGGGUGAGAAUCCCGUCUUGGACCGGCGGUAGGGCCUAUGUGAAACUCCUUCGACGAGUCGAGUUGUUUGGGAAUGCAGCUCAAAAUGGGUGGUAAAUUUCAUCUAAAGCUAAAUAUUGGCCAGAGACCGAUAGCGCACAAGUAGAGUGAUCGAAAGAUGAAAAGCACUUUGAAAAGAGAGUUAAACAGUAUGUGAAAUUGUUGAAAGGGAAGCGCUUGCAACCAGACUUGAGCGCGGCGGUUCCCCCUUGCUUCUGCUUGGGUUACUCCGCCGUGUCCAGGCCAACAUCGGUUCUGGGGGUCGGUCAAAGGCUCUGGGAAUGUAUCUACCCACGGGUAGACUUAUAGACCAGGGUGUCAUGCGACCUCCCGGGACCGAGGAACGCGCUUCGGCUCGGAUGUUGGCGUAAUGGUUGUCAGCGACCCGUCUUGAACCACGGA
rnacentral:rRNA from 1 species